GUAUGUGUGUGUGUAUACAAAUAUAAACACAUAUAUAUGCAUCACCAUAAUUUGUUAAUGCGUCUGUCAAUAGAUACUUGGUUUGCUUUGGUCUCUUGGCUAUUGUGAACGCUGCGGCUAUGAAUACCAGAGCGCAAACGUCUGUUACCGUGAAAAACUACACGUCUACAAUUUGGGGUUGGAGCAUUAUGUAUUCUUAUUUGGGUUAGCAUUUUCAUCCUUGAGGAGUGUCCCAGCACAAGAGAAAGGAGGAUAUUCUUAAGUGUUUGACUAGAAAAACUGGGCCCGGCCUGGUACUCUGAAGCACAGAAUUCAUGAAUUAAUGCUAGUUUCAAAGUUUUCUCUGAUGACAAAAUCUUUCUGAGUAGUAUGCUGCCAAUUAGCUUUUGAACGUGUUGGUUGGUUUGACUUUCCUAAUCCUAACCGAUGUUCUUGACGUUUGUUGGUCUGGGGGUAGUUUAAUCAAGAUAAAUUGCCUGCUUCUGGGGACGAUGAGGCGGAUGCCGCAGGGCAGCCGGCACCACCUGCAGUACCGGAUUUGGAGCCUCUUUUCAGCGUGGUGUUCUUCCGAAGAUGCAGGACACCCUAGACCUGGGCGUUGACCGUGUUUGGACAGCUUGGGGUGCAGAGGUCCGCCCGCACGACGCAGUGCAGCCCCGUACCAGGGGGAAGCAGGAGCGGUAGUAGUCGCUUCUGGUGGCGCAGCUCCAGUGGACACGACGCACGAAGGUCUGGCGUCUGGCUGCAGACCUGGCCGAGCGCAGUGGGCGUCUCGCUGGAACCAGGGCCCAUGGAGCUGACACAAGAAAACGCAAGUACUCUGGUGACUGCUGUUGCUGUCAACAAGCUACAACAUGUGGUCCCAGUUCAACAAAGAUACAAAACUACAGCCGACCAUGGAAAAUACCACUCACCCUUAGAUGGACACUGCUAUAAGGACUCUGAGGCCUGAGACUAGCAAGAGGAGAGGCCCAAUACCCCUCGCCAUCCCAGUUCAGCAGGAAGUAGCCAGAAAGACCUCAAUGCCC